CUACGUGAAGACACAUAGAGGAGAUGUCCAUCUAUAAGCCACGGAGAAAGGCAUCAGAAGAAACCAGUCCUGCCAACACCUUGAUCUCAGACUUCUAGCUGGCAGAAUGUCUCCACAACUUCAACUGGAGAGGCAACUGCAACGCUGGUAGAAAAAGCAGUAGCUCUGGUGACCAAAGAGUCUAUUUGGAAUCUAACCAGCAUUGUGACCUGGGGCAGGUCACUUCAGCUCCCUGUGCUUCAGUUCUUGACUUAUAAAGAAUGUAUAUGACGAUUAUCCCAUACCAUCAUAAUAUUUUGGCAGCCAGUAUUUUUACAGGUCCACAGAUUGAAGAGGAAUUGUGUCCUAGGAUGGAUUAUACCCAGAGCCUCAUCUAUACUUGAUGUAGAUUGUUAAAGUGAUGAGAUUUGGGACUUUUGGGCUGAUAAGA